rnacentral:rRNA from 1 species
CCUCUGGUGUGCCAGUUGUUCUGCCAAGGGCAUGGCUGGUUGGCUACGUUCGGAAAGGAUAACCGCUGAAAGCAUCUAAGCGGGAAGCCUGCUUCGAGAUGAGGGCUCCCUCCCACUUGAUGGGGUAAGGCUCCCAGUAGACGACUGGGUUGAUAGGCCAGAUAUGGAAGACCGGUAACGGUUGGAGUUGACUGGUACUAAUAGGCCGAG